GAUGAACGCUGGCGGCGUGCUUAACACAUGCAAGUCGAACGAUGAAGCCCAGCUUGCUGGGUGGAUUAGUGGCGAACGGGUGAGUAACACGUGAGUAACCUGCCCUUAACUCUGGGAUAAGCCUGGGAAACUGGGUCUAAUACCGGAUAGGAGCGUCCACCGCAUGGUGGGUGUUGGAAAGAUUUAUCGGUUUUGGAUGGACUCGCGGCCUAUCAGCUUGUUGGUGAGGUAAUGGCUCACCAAGGCGACGACGGGUAGCCGGCCUGAGAGGGUGACCGGCCACACUGGGACUGAGACACGGCCCAGACUCCUACGGGAGGCAGCAGUGGGGAAUAUUGCACAAUGGGCGCAAGCCUGAUGCAGCGACGCCGCGUGAGGGAUGACGGCCUUCGGGUUGUAAACCUCUUUCAGUAGGGAAGAAGCGAAAGUGACGGUACCUUCAGAAGAAGCACCGGCUAACUACGUG
rnacentral:rRNA from 1 species